rnacentral:tRNA from 1 species
UGGGCUCGUAGUCUAGCCUGGUCUAGGAUCCGAGGUUUGGGACCUUGUGACCCCGGUUCAAAUCCGGGCGAGCUCAA